rnacentral:tRNA from 1 species
GCGGCAGUGGUGGAACGGUAGACACGCACGCUUGAGGGGCGUGUGGAGAGAUCCGUGCGGGUUCAAAUCCCGCUUGCCGCACCA